GGAGAGAUGCCGGAGUGGUCGAACGGACCGCACUCGAAAUGCGGCAUACGGGUAACCGUAUCCAGGGUUCGAAUCCCUGUCUCUCCG
rnacentral:tRNA from 1 species